AAACCAUGCAUCGAGAAUUUUCUAAUAAAUUCCUUGAAUCACUCCCAAGCUUCAUACAAUGUCUCAUCUUUAGAUUGCCGAAAGAUGUAAUAUUGUUCCUCAAUUU
rfam:Gossypium hirsutum cultivar TM-1 chromosome 20, whole genome shotgun sequence